GCAGAGAAACAAAUCAAGUGAUCUGUUAAUGGUGGGCACAGCAAGGUAAAGCAUGAUUAUUGAAACACAGCAGGGGGAAAGGACCUCGCUGAGUUUUAAGCUGCUCAUGUGUACAUGCCCUAAGAUGGAGCCGUUCAUUGCCAAGGAUGUGGAGCUAUCAGUGGGAAUGACAUCUCUAUGUGGAAUCCCCUCCUUCCAUAAUAAAUAGUAAAACUUCACGUUGAGUGCUUCCCCAUUUUAAUAUAUGUGUUAGUUUAUAUAUUAUAAGUCACUUUGAGUUAUCUUGGUAAAAAUGUCAAAUAAAUUUAAUUAAGUAAUUAAUUAAUUAGGUAAGUAAGUAAGUAAUAGUGACAUUGAGACUUAGGUUUAUGCUGGGGUGUUUUAACUACACCUUGCAGAAAAACUCAAUAUGCAGAUGCCAUUUUCAGCAACAGGCCCGUUCUCCUUGUAAUACAGGCAACUCCUUAUUUGUGCACAACAGGUGAUGCACACGCUGUUUUUGGCACUGCAAGGGGGAGUGGCAGGAGUGGGGCAGGGCAGGAUUACGUGCGUCCCACUGGCACGUGUGUGACAUAGAACCUCCCCCUCCCACGUAAAUGGCGAGUUGCCUGUAAAUUGCUCCACAACCCCUCAAAUUGCUAUUGAGCCUCUUUGAUACUAUGUUGAAUGCAUGUGUGACUAUUAUUGAUGCAGGAUAGAAAGUCUGCAGCGUGUGCCCAUUGUUAAACGGAAUGUGCUUUCCAGGCUCUAUGGGAACCUGUGGCCCUGCAGAUGCUGGCAGACUCCCACCAGCCCCAGCAAGCAUGGCCAAGGACAAUGGGAGUUGUAGUUCAGCAACAUCUGGAGGGCCAGAGGUUCCCCACACCUGCUCUAUGGGUUUUACAUUAGCAUUUUAGACAUGGGAUAUGCAACAGACGAAAAGCUUUUCUUGUUUUGUGCAAAAUCUCUCUAAGAAUGCAUUUUAGGCUGGGUUAUGCCUCUUGCAUAAACAGAGCCCUUUCCCAAUCAAAUGUACAUUCUCAGUUUCUUAUGUUUGAAUUGCAGACCUAAGUAUGCCAGUAUUAGCAUGUGUGUGUGUGUGGGGGAACUAUAGUCAUUCUUUCUCUCCCUCCCCGACCACCACUCCAUCUCCCUAUGCCAAUUUGGAAAUUCAGUUGGGUUGCUGAAUUUCAGUCAGACUGCAUCCUCAAAGUACCCUGGGAAAUGUAGUUUUGUGACUGGAAAGGAUUUCCAGAAAGGACAUAUCUGCACUGCGAAUUAAGACACCACCUUUUCAGAGAUGUGGGAGGGGGCAAGGAUCAAGGAAGGACUUAGGGGACAUGGGGGAAUAUAGGAAUCUGCCCUAUACCAAAUCAGACUGAUGGUCAACUCUGUCUGGCAGAGACUCUGCAGAGAUUCUGAUAGGAUUCUCUCCCAGAGCUAUCUGGAGAUGCCAGGAUGUGAACCUUUGCCACUGACCUCUGGCCUUUCCCUAUGAGGGGAGAAGGACAAGGAACGAGUGAGAAAGAUGGGUGUUUCAGGACUCUGUGGAGAUACAGGCGGCAUCAUGGGCAGAAAUUAUUUUUACCAACUUUGGCUACUUCACCAACAAUAGGGUUAUUGGAAGAAGGCAGAUCUUGUCUCAGUUAAUAACAUGUUUUGGUUACAUCCAGGUUAGAUUACUGCAAUGCGCUCUACAGGGGCUGCCCUUGAAGAUUAUUUGGAAAGGUCAGUUAGUGCAGAACUGGGCAGCUAGAACACUUGUAGGGACUAGACAUUAUGGCUAAUCCAUGCUAGUUACAUUGGCUGCCUAUUUGUUUCCAGAUGCAGCUGAAGGUGCUUUGUUAUUGACCUUUAAAACUCUAGUAGUCAGGGGCCGGGCUAUUCCUGCACUCAUAUGAGCCUGCCCUGGCCUUAAGAACAUCAUCUGAGGCCUUGCUCUGGUGAGAGUUUUCAGGCUGGCAAGUAUCAGAGACAUUUGUAGUGGAUUCACACCUCUGGAAUACCCUCCCUGAGGAGGUCCAUACAGCCCUUUCUUCACUGACUUUGUAGAUCCUUAAAGCCCUUCUUAUGUCAGUCUGCAUAUAAUUUUAUGUAGAUCUGUUUUAGCACAUCUUUCUCUGGUGCCUUUAUUUUCAUUGUGCUUAAUGCUAGUGUUUUAUGCAGUUACAAAAUAUUUUUAAAACAUGGGGAUUUUGUUGUACAGUUGUAUAUAUAUGACAUCACCUUGUGAGGCUAUAUAACUUGAAAGGUGGGAUAAGCAUCUCUGAGGCCCCAUCUGCACUAUACAUUGAAAGUAGUAUCAUGCCACUUUCAACUGCCAUGGCUUCCCUAAAAUAAUCCUGGGAAUGGUAGCUUGUUAAGGGUGCUGAGAGUUGUUACAAGAGUCUUAUUCCCCUCAAAGAGCUAUAGUUCUCAGUGUAGCUUAACAAUCAACCCCUCUUCCCAGGGCCUUGGUGGGUCCUCAAAGUUCCUGGUUUUGCCCUGACCUCUGUGUUUCUGUCAUAACUUCUGAAUGGAAUCUACAUGUGUACACACUGUACAUUUCCACAGUUUACUGACUCUGCAACACAGAUCCACUUUGAACAUGUGCACACUCUGUUAUGAUGAGCACAUAAGAACAUAGGAAGCUACCAGUCAGACCACUGGGUCAUCUAGUUCAGUGUGGUCUACACCAGGUGCCUCCAACCUUUUCAGACCCAGAACCCACAUGAAUGUGGGGACCUAUUUUUUAACCACAUAUAUGAAUGGUGUUGAUGCUCCUGUUGUGACCCACCUUGCAUCAGGCCAUGACCCAAUAGUGGGUCAUGACCCACUAGCUGAAGACCAGCAGUCUACACUGACUUGUAGCGACUCUCUCGGAUUUGGGGCAGGGAGUCUUUUCCCAGCCCUAUCUGGAAACACCAGGAUUAAGUCUGGGGCCUUCUGUAUCCAAAGCAUCGGGUGCAAUCCUGAUCCCUGCCCCCCAACAUGUGUGUGUGUGCGUGUGCAUGUGCGUGCACACUCAGGUAUUACAAAUAUGCUAUCCAUACACAUACUUUUCUCUGAAGAGAAGCAAAAUACAGAAUAAAGUUAAAUUCAGGCUUAAAACACAGAGGUGCUUUUUCUUGCUGUAUAAUUCUUAGGGCAGCUUUCAACAACUUGGCACCUUCCAGAUGUCUUGGACUAUAGCUCCCAUCAUUCCCCAGUCAGCAUGACCAAAGGUCAAGGAUAAUGGGAUCUGGAGUCCAACAGCAUCUGGUUGGGGAAGGCUAUCUUAUGAGAAUCACAGAGAAGCUUCACCAGAAGAGCUGCGGUAGAUUUUAUUACCACUAUCCUUCCUACGCAGGGACGCCGCUGCAUCUCCUGCAGAACCGAUAAAGCUGCCGGGUGCUAAGAGUUAACACCAAGUUAAAAGUACCAACACACAGGAGCAUCCAGGGUGACAUGCUUCAAGUUGAGACAGUACAAGUUAUGCAAAUGCAAAAGGGGUGUGCGGUAUUGACAUUUUGAGGUCACAGUGAUAGGAAUGUAUUAUUUAUAGGCCUGGGUUGCAGGAGGCCGAUAAACUACAUUUGAAAUCCUCGAGGUUUGCAAAGCUAGCAGAAGAGUCUCUUCCCCCCGCUUUUCCUUUUUAAAGAUUCACAUUAGCAGGUAUGAGGUUAACCUACCUAAAAAUUCUCUAUUUAGACAGCCUUUUCUGUAAGAUGGCUGGUUCUGUAUAAUAAAAGAAGUGAUGUAGAAAUAAAAGUUUUUAU